UCGCCCCCAAAAUCGGAUUUUUUGAGGGGAAAAAGUACGGGGAAUCGUUCCCCACCCUUCCCCGAAGUGCACAUGGCAAUGAGCGAUGCCCGGUACAAGCUGCUUGGUGGUGGACAGUACCCAUCCGAGUGUGAUGAGGAUGCCCCAGUCCCUCCUGCCCUUCCAGUUCCAUUCUGUCGU